CGCCUGUUUAUCAAAAACAUCGCUGAAUUUAAAUUCAGUANGACCUGCCCGGUGAAAUUUUNACGGCCGCAGUAUCUUAACUGUGCUAAGGUAGCAUAAUCAUUAGUUUUUUAAUUGAAAACUCGUAUAAAUGAUUUGACGAGAAACUCUCUCUCCCAAUUGUACCUUAAAUUUUCUAUGAAGGUCAAAAAGCCUUCUUUUUCCAAAGGGACGACAAGACCCUAUAAAACUUCACUUAACUUAAAAAUACUUCCUCAGAAAAAAUUUAAUUUUAAAAUAAGUUUAGCUGGGGCGGCUCGAUUUAAUAAAAACAUUUUCCACUCUAACAUCUUGAAUGACAGAUAAUAAACAUGCUUUUAAUUCAGAACAAGUUACUUUAGGGAUAACAGCAUAAUAUCUCUUUAGAGCCCUUAUCGACAGAGAUCCAUAUGACCUCGAUGUUGAAUUGGAUAUUCUCCUUAGAGCAGCCCCUAAGGAAAGAAAGUCUGUUCGACUUGUAAUCCUCCACAUGAUCUGAG
rnacentral:rRNA from 1 species